rnacentral:rRNA from 1 species
UACGUAGGGUGCAAGCGUUAAUCGGAAUUACUGGGCGUAAAGCGUGCGCAGGCGGUUUGUUAAGACAGAUGUGAAAUCCCCGGGCUUAACCUGGGAACUGCAUUUGUGACUGGCAAGCUAGAGUAUGGCAGAGGGGGGGUAGAAUUCCACGUGUAGCAGUGAAAUGCGUAGAGAUGUGGAGGAAUACCAAUGGCGAAGGCAGCCCCCCUGGGGAUAAUAUUGACGCUCAUGCACGAAAGCGUGGGGAGCAAACAGG